CUACGGGUCGCACCAGUGGGGAAUCUUAGACAAUGGGCGCAAGCCUGAUCUAGCCAUGCCGCGUGAGUGACGAAGGCCUUAGGGUCGUAAAGCUCUUUCGCUGGGGAAGAUAAUGACGGUACCCAGUAAAGAAACCCCGGCUAACUCCGUGCCAGCAGCCGCGGUAAUACGGAGGGGGUUAGCGUUGUUCGGAAUUACUGGGCGUAAAGCGCGCGUAGGCGGAUCAGAAAGUUGGGGGUGAAAUCCCGGGGCUCAACCCCGGAACUGCCUUCAAAACUCCUGGUCUUGAGUUCGAGAGAGGUGAGUGGAAUUCCGAGUGUAGAGGUGAAAUUCGUAGAUAUUCGGAGGAACACCAGUGGCGAAGGCGGCUCACUGGCUCGAUACUGACGCUGAGGUGCGAAAGCGUGGGGAGCAAACAGGAUUAGAUACCCUCGUAGUC
rnacentral:rRNA from 1 species